rnacentral:lncRNA from 1 species
UGGACUAAGAUGUAAGUUUCGAUUUAUCUCUUCCGUGUUUCCAGUUUCCACUGAAGAUUUCUAGAUAAUUCUUGUGUCUCACUUUUUGAUAAUUUAUCUUUUGCCUCAAAAAAAUUUAUUCAUCAUCAUAUCAAGCUUAUAAUCUCGAUAGAUGAAGAAAAUGGCGGGGGAGGGAGGACAAAUCCAGGGAUUUUAGGAUUUCCAAGUUCAUUUUCUUCGUCCAUGUAAAAUCCCAUUUUAUCAAAAUCGUGAAACAAGAAUCUCUUUUCUGGCAAAAAUCGAUUUCUUUGUCCCCACACGCUGCCUCUGCCCUUGCCCUUCAUCCCGGCGAUGCCUCUCCGAUAACCACCAGCACCGAAAUGUCGGCUUUCUAUCCCGAAAGAAAAGAAAAGGGGACACAUCCAAAAUUAAAGAAAACCCCAACAUAUCUCUCCAUCUCCCUUGAUUCACGGAGCAAGGGCCGCCGCCGUCGUUUUAAAGCACUGGAGUCCGCAUCCGCCUACACUCUACUCUGGAUUCCUCAAUUUUGUCGUCGGAUUGGCUGGGAACGAAGACCUUUUGAAGCUCCAAUCCAUCUCUAGUGAAAUUCGUCUGGGAACGGGAAGGAAAUGGACGGCGGAUCCAGCCACAAUGAAAGCUGGUUCUCCUUCAAAAAUGUUGAAAUCAAAGGGUUGUUGGGUUUACCAGUCAUGUUCAUUCAAGAAUACACUCUCGAUCACUACUUUGAUCAAGGCAUCACUAAUGCCUUGGGUUCUUGAAUCUUCAUAUUGCUUUAUUUUCUCGAUUUGUUUCCAUAUCAGGUGCGAUUCGAUAGCGCUGGUUGUGGGUUUACUUCUGCACAAAACAUGUCAUCCCUGCACAAUGCCUCUCCGUCAGCAUUGCGCAUACCGCUUGUUUCUUCGCACUCCCACCAUUGGUAAAAAUGAUAGAAAAUGUUAUCAAUGAUCACGCUCUAUCAAGAAAACAGGUUUAAUCAUUGAGAAUGCCAUGCGAAAAUCAGUAAAAACAAGAAACAAAUUAUGGGAAUAAAUUUGUAAAUCUUGAAAGUAGGGCUGGUAAAAUGGUGCCGGU